GGCCAGCUAAAGUACCACAAAACGCCACACCAUUAACUGCGGCUGCAACGUUGGGAGGCAGCGUGCCAGGCUUUGCUGCCCCAUCGACAUGGUAGUAUAUACGACCAAGUAAUUUAGUAACAAGUGAAAUGGAGAAAAGAUCGUAUGCAUCUGUGAAGAAACCCAUUCCAGCAAUUAUGAUUGCAGUGAAAUGGUACCAUUGU
rnacentral:misc_RNA from 1 species